rnacentral:lncRNA from 1 species
CAGCAGAGCCUGUGGAGGGAGCUAAAGGCAGGAGACCCCAGAAGAAUGAGUCGGGGGCCAUAAGAUGGGCAGAGCCAGGACAUGCCAGGCUUUGGGGGUCCAGGUGACUGUCCUGUGACCAAGGAGGGCUGCAUUUGCAUUUGAGUGGCUCUCAGACCAGAAUCUGAAGGACAAAUUCGGCCUGGAGAAUGCCUACAGCCGCUUCCACCCCUCGCUGGGGACUGUCAACCCCACCACAGAGGUGACUCAGCUGAGACCCAGCCCUAUGCCUGCCCUGAGCCCUGGGGCGCCCCUCUCCAGCCCUGGGGCUGCUCCUCAGCUCUGGGGUCACCCUUUCUCACUGGCAUUUCCCUCUCCCCAGUUGCACUUUCAGAGGCCAGAGGUGGUGAGAACGACUCGGUGAGGUACAGAGGCUCCCAGCCCUCAUGUAGAUGUAGACCAGAGAGCAACAGAGAGCCCACUGUGAACAGCCCUGGCUGGCCAAGAAGAAAGCAGUGCGGGGCCCUGUGGCCCUGCAGGUGCGCAUAGGUGACAGAUUGGCCUAUGGUCUCCUGCUGCUGCCUGCUGGAAAGGCGGUGGGGGCUGUGAGUGUUUCUGUCUGCUCCAUCACCCUCGUCCCGGCCCAUGAGUCCGAGGCUACCAGAACUCUUGGCUUCUUUGUUCACCCUUAGCUUCUCCCCACUGGGGAAUUUCCC